CUAGGAACCAAACUCCCUUCCCUUAACCCUUCCUUGACUGUCUGGGAGAGGAGAGCUUGCCCUUUUGGCCUCUUCCUCCUCCACCACCUCCUUGCAGCCUUUUCCUUCUCUUCCUCCUUCCUCUCCUUUUGAGGAAAUGUGAUGGUUGGUUAAGUAUUUUGGAGUAGAGCCUGUUCAGGGAUUUCUUUCCCUUGAUGGAAGAGGGAGGAAAAGCAUCUCGGACCCAGUUUGCUUCUUCAUCAAAGAGUGGUUCCAACAUGGAAAGACCCAACUCACCUGGACCUGAAGCUGACAGGGCCCCAGGAAGCAGUGGGGAAUUCUGGGAAAGAACUACACAGACAUUCCUGAGUGUGGACCUAUAUAGCUCAGACACACAGGGCCAGCGCUUCAGGCAUUCCUCCUUCCAAGAGGGCGAGGGACCCAGAGAGGUUUGCAGCCGCCUCCACUCUCUCUGCCGCCAGUGGCUGAAGCCAGAGCAACACACCAAGGCGGAGAUGCUGGACCUGGUGAUCCUGGAGCAGUUCCUGAGCAUCCUGCCCCCAGAGAUGGGGAGCUGGGUCCGAGAGUGUGGGGCAGAGACCUCUUCCCAGGCGGUGGCCCUGGCGGAAGGCUUCCUCCUGAGUCGGGCAGAGGACGAGAAGCAGGAAGGACAGGUGAGAGCAUUGCCUCUUGGGUUCACUCACCUUGGGACUGGUGGAGAGAUUGAACAUACAUCCUGCCUUCCUUCCAAGAUGGGACCUAUGAUAGAGAUAAGUCAGACUCUGUUCCCUCGGCCUCUUUUCCCACCUGCUCUGCCCCUCCUGUCUCACCUCCAUAUCCAGUAUGAGCACAGUUGCUGCUCUACUCAAAUUUGUUGACAACAGAUAGAACAUUUAAUAUGAUGGGAGGGGAAAUAUGGCCAAUCUCAAAAUGCAGUUUCUGCGCAUUUGUGGGUAAAUCCUUUUCUAACCUUUACCUAUACUACUUAAGGGAUUUUCUGUGCUCUUCUAGGCCCAAAAUAACUGCAUUAAACUCCACCCUGAUGUCUUUGAAUCAGAGAAACCUCCAUUAGACACCACCCAGAUCCUCCAGCAGAAGGAGCUCAAGCAGGAAGACUAUGGGACUACAGCCUUGGAAGGGGCUGGAAUGAUGUUGUUGCCGACAAAUCCACACUCAUUUUUUUCCCUUUGUGAUGGAGUGGAACUGAAUCAGGUAAGCAGAAGGAUUCCUGAGAGAGGAGGACUGGAGCUGCCUAGGUGUCAUUAGUUGUAGGCUUAAUUAUCGAACAUCUGUUGAAAUGAUGAAUAGGAGUUUCUUAAAAGUGAGAUACUGAAGGUCUAAAGAAGCCAGAAUGGAUGUUCAAAGAACUUUCAACUGAGCUAAGAUUUGAAAGGGACAUGCACAAGAAAUGGAAAG